GUGCCAGCAGCCGCGGUAAUACCGGCAGCCCAAGUGAUGGCCGCUGUUAUUGGGCCUAAAGCGUCCGUAGCUGGCCGCACAAGUCCGUCGGGAAAUCCACCCGCCCAACGGGUGGGCGUCCGGUGGAAACUGUGUGGCUUGGGACCGGAAGGCGCGACGGGUACGUCCGGGGUAGGAGUGAAAUCCCGUAAUCCCGCACGGACCACCGAUGGCGAAAGCACUUCGAGAAGACGGAUCCGACAGUGAGGGACGAAAGCCAGGGUCUCCAACCGGAUUAGAAACCCGGGUAGUCC
rnacentral:rRNA from 1 species